UGUGUCCUCCUUCCCAUUGGCCUUCUGGUUCCUACCCAACUGUCCAGUCCACAGGCCUCAGUAACACCUUUUUGCCCAGCCCUGUGGUAGCGUUGGCUGCCUCCUUUACCUACUCAAGUAGCUGCUUUACCACUAAUUUAUUGUUUUGUGUUUUCAUCUAUAGGAUCUUACCUAGCCAUAUGGCCUGCUGCCUCUGCCAAUUUAAAAAUAGCAUUGAGACUGUCUGCAAGACAGUCACGCUGCAUUGCAACACUGCAUGUCUGACUAACAGCGUACAUUGUCCUGAAGAAGCAUCUGUAGGGAAUCCAGAAGGAGCGUUCAUGAAGGUGUUACAAGCCCGGAAGCAGCACACGAGCACUAAGCUGACUAUUGAGUCGGAGGCGCCCUCAGACAGCAGUGGCAUCAAGUUGUCAGGCUUUGGGAGUGAUCAGUUUGAAAUUCAGCUAACCCAGGAGCUACGGUCCCUCAUCCCCAACGAGGAUGUGAGAAGGUUCAUGUCUCAUAUUAUCCGGACCUUGAAAAUGGAAUGUUCACAAAUGCAUGUGCAAGUGACCUGUGCCAAGCUCAUGUCGCGAACAGGACUCCUGAUGAAACUUCUCAGCGAGCAGCAGGAAGCAAAGCCAUCAAAGGCAGAGUGGGAUAUGGACCACCAGAAAUCUAAUUAUAUUAAUGAGAACAUGGAACAGAGUGAACAGAAACAGCAGAAGUCAAGUGAGCUCA
rnacentral:sRNA from 1 species